rnacentral:rRNA from 1 species
GAUGAACGCUGGCGGCGUGCCUAACACAUGCAAGUCGAGCGAAGCGCCUUACUUGAUUUCUUCGGGAUGAAAGUAUUGUGACUGAGCGGCGGACGGGUGAGUAACGCGUGGAUAACCUGCCUCAUACAGGGGGAUAACAGUUAGAAAUGACUGCUAAUACCGCAUAAGACCACAGGACCGCAUGGUCAAGGGGUCAAAGAUUUGAUCGGUGAUAGAUGGGCUCGCGUCUGAUUAGCUGGUUGGUGAGGUAACGGCCCACCAAGGCGACGAUCAGUAGCCGACCUGAGAGGGUGAUCGGCCACAUUGGAACUGAGAAACGGUCCAA